rfam:Gossypium raimondii chromosome 6, whole genome shotgun sequence.
AGGUGCGAUCAUACCAGCUAUAAUGCACUAGAUCCCAUCAAAACUCCUUCGGUAAGCGUGCUUGGGUGAGAGUAGUAGUAGGAUGGGUGACCUCCUAGGAAGUCUUCAUGUUGCACCCC